rnacentral:rRNA from 1 species
GGUUAAGCGACUAAGCGUACACGGUGGAUGCCCUGGCAGUCAGAGGCGAUGAAGGACGUGCUAAUCUGCGAUAAGCGUCGGUAAGGUGAUAUGAACCGUUAUAACCGGCGAUUUCCGAAUGGGGAAACCCAGUGUGUUUCGACACACUAUCAUUAACUGAAUCCAUAGGUUAAUGAGGCGAACCGGGGGAACUGAAACAUCUAAGUACCCCGAGGAAAAGAAAUCAACCGAGAUUCCCCCAGUAGCGGCGAGCGAACGGGGAGCAGCCCAGAGCCUGAAUCAGUGUGUGUGUUAGUGGAAGCGUCUGGAAAGGCGCGCGAUACAGGGUGACAGCC